CUGUGCGGCCGAGCCGGCCCCAGCCGAGCGCUAGGCCAGCCAAAGGCCUGCCAGAGGCCAGUCAGAGGCGCCGCGGCCAGCGUUCCGGACGCCGGCACGGCCAUCAAGUGCGUCGUCCACGUCGUCCACGUCGUCCACCAGGGCCCAGGACGCAUCCGUCCUCGCGCGGGUACCCAGGCGCCCAGGACAUGGCGACCGCCACCCCGCGAGCAGCGUGUCCGGGCCGGCGUGCCGCUGACGCCCUCACAGCGCUCACUGCCCAACACUGAGGCGCUCCCCCCGGACAGCGGUGCGCGCCGCCACGGUCCGCGAUGAGCGACUCGGGGGACUCGGAGGCGCAGACCUCGAGCACGGCCAACCUGGCCGAAGGAGAAGGCGACGGCAAGCAGGGCUCCAAGAAGAAGAUCAUCCGCCUGCUCACCGUCAUGGCCUACGUGUCCUCGGUGUCCGGCACCGCCUUCAUGCUGUCCAUGUACUACCUGUUCCUGUGGGAGCCCAAGGUGGCCGAGCACCACCUAAAGGGCGACCCCAUGGGGCACCAGGCGCUCGCACUCAAGGGCCAUGUUGACCACGGGCAGCGCGGCGUGUACGACGGCCUCUACGACGGCUACCCCUUGCCCGGAGUGAUGUACAGACCGCCGGGCACUGCGGACAGCCGCGGCGUGGGGGCGGCGUACCCGGUGCCCGUGGGCAGCAGUCCUCCUGGCACCUACCGGUCCGCGGCACCGCCCAUGGGCCCACCCAUGGGACCGCCAAUGGGCACGCCAGGGCGGCCCGUGCCCCGGUACGACUACCAGUACCAGGACUCGGGGCCCAUGUGGGUGCACAGCACGUACUCGCGACAGCCACCUCGCCCACCCAGCCUGAGCCAGGUGCGCGAGCCGAGCGACCCGCUGUUCAUGCCGAAGACGCUGGCUCGGUCGCCGCGCGCGCACCCACCAACACCGAAGCCAGAGCCCACGACGGUGGUGGCGGCAACGUCGACGACGAUGUCGUCGUCUGCACCAAACUCUACGAAGCAAGCGGCGAUGACAACGACGGCGUUGCCGCAGACAAACUCUGCACUCGCUGACCUGCGACCGUCGUCACCCUGGCCACUCACCCCUUCAGCGUCCCCGCAGGCAACCAGCUCGCUGUCGCCGAAAGUGUUGACCGACGAGCGGGCGCCAGCGCCGACGCCAACGCCGACGUCAACGCCAACGCCGACGUCAACGCCCACAAACACGCCGAGGUCCACGCCGACGCCCAUCUCGACGGUCACUGUGACGUCCACGCCAGCGUCUCCGUCGUCGUCCGCGGCGACCUCCGCAACGACCUCCACGGCUACCUCCACGGCGACCUCCACAGCGACCUCCACGCCUCCUCCACGACGUGCUCCUCCGAAUCUCACCGCGCGGAAGCAGCCGCCGAUAUUGCCGCCCAGGUCACCGACGGCACCACCGCGGGCGGUCAGGUUGCCGCCGGUCGUCCAGGAGACGACCCCGACCAAGUCACCCCGAAGGACCGUCGACGCGAAGAAGACACCGCCUCUCCUGUCGCCGGGAGCGCCCCCGGCCAAGGUCCAGCCCCCAGCGGUGCCUGCCUUGGUGCCCGCUGUCCCGCGGCCGUCCCCACCGCGCUGCUCCUGUCCGCGAAGCACACCGUGACCGCGGCCCCGGACGCCUCGGACGCCCCGGCAGUCUAAGGUGCCGCAACGAGCGCCGUCCGGAUCAGGACUGCUUGCUUUGCUUGCUCCAGGUCCCAGGUUGCGGCGCGCGGGGCUGCCUCCGAGGCGGGGGCAGACGACGGCCGCCCUGGCCAAGGCCCUGGCCAUCCCACCGGACAGAGGAGCGCUCGGGUGAACGAGAAGAAGGGCAGGCCGACGGACGGAGAGGCGUGUCCCCGGCGUGCAGAUGACCGCCGCGACCG
rnacentral:misc_RNA from 1 species